GAAGGCUAGGAACGAGUCACUUGUACGAUAGUAUAACGUUUCGUCUGCCUCCAGGAAGGACGAGGAGUUUAUCGGACUGAACGCCCAAACAAAAAUACAAUGACCUUGCCUCCUCAAGUACACGGAGUAGGUUUGUCCGCCAGCUCCGCUAGCUUCUCCACCGGCCACAAACUACUGCGUCUGCUAUAAGAGGAAAGAAAAAUUUUCUGGUUCACAGGGGGCAUUUGAAAUAUUCCCCCUUGAGCUCGUAAAUCUGCAUUACAGUACGAGCACAUGCUCUGGUUCACACGUUGACGCCGUGCUGGGGGAAUACCUUUACGUCUUCCUGAAUAUUUUCUUGAAGUUCACGUAUUGUAUGCGGAUUUCGUCUGUACUUUUUGAGGUACCCCAUAAGUAAAAUGAUGGGGAAUGAGCUGGCCGUAAGCGUUCAAUAAUAAAUCGCCGUAUGUUACUGCGGACGCAAAGUUACUGACCGCGUGUGUUGUUGUUGUCAAGUACUGUCGAAAGUAACCGCAGAGUCUUUAUUUGUUAAUUUUGGGAGAAGCGUGCACAAAUCAGAUUAACGCGACUUUUUACGUUACGUGUGUCGAUAAAAAACAGGGCCAGUUGUUUAACUGUGUGCGUGUGUAACUGAGGAAAUACUAGAAGCUAUGCGGACUGUUUAAUGUUACUGUUUCUAUGUUUUAUUAGAAUUGUGUUUAUGCAGUCUAUCGUAGGUUGUGUUUUUAGAAUUUGCGGUGGUAAUUUCUUUGGAAAAGAUGUGAUUUCGAGAGAGGGAGAGAAUUCUGAUUCAGUAUUUCAUUACUGACGCGGAAUAAUUUUAUGUGCGAUGGAUCGAUAUGUGUCGUUGCUAGAUUAUGAUGCCUCUUAUUCUCGUGUGGUCAGAAAAAAAAACUUUAUAUGACCAUUUUCUUAGCUCAAUGAUAUUGGUGCAGAACCAUGUUGGUGCAAAUUAAUUACACUGCCACGUCUCCAGACCGUUGGAUACUACGUCGAUGAAGUGAGUUUUUAAUGUAAUUAUAUGAUUACUGUUUCUUGCUUGUGCUGACUCUUCAGGCUGACUGUGGAACCAAUAAUUUGACUAAAAUGAACUUCAGUGCGCUAGUUCUUACAGUCAUUAUUGUCAUCACUUCAGGAAAUUUUUGUGUAUUUUUAGGAAUCGUAAUCUGUGUAAUUCCGUAAACUGCGCGUAGCAGGCAGAUCCAUUUUCUUAUUAUUCUAAUUUCUAAGAGUUACAUUUUAAUAAGGAGGACCAGUCGUAUGAAUCGCGAUAUUUAACUUGAGAGUUUGUCUCUGAUACUCGUUGAGCUUUCGACUAUCAUGGCCUAUUUGUUGGUAUGUUCUGGUAGGGUGAUUACUGAUUAACCGUAUGUAAUUCCUGGGGCUUGUAGUUUGAUAAAUAUAAACGAUUUUUUGCUUGCCGAAACUGUUACGCAUAAAAUAGAUAUAACGAUGAAUUGCAUUGGCUUAUUGAUGAUAUGCGUGAGAAAAUAAUUUUUGUGCGAGCUCAACUACCCAGCAUUGCAUUGUGUUAAUAGGGGACUUCAUUUUUAUAUUUGAAAAGUAAGGUUUAUUUUUAAGGAGGCGUUCAGUAGUUGUAUUACACAACGCAAUUUUUAAAAUUGUGUUCUGGAACUUAGAAACAGAUGCCAGUCAAUGGGAUGAGUGUUUACAGUUUUAAUUAGAACAGUUAUGUACUUUCUUGUUUUUAAUUAGAUCACGUGAAUUGUAUGUCUUAAACGCGAUACGUAAUUGAUGCCGUUGAUUCAUGUUCAACUACCUUCGUAGUAUGAGUUCAUCCU